GUCUCCAGCCAUACCACCUAGAGCUCACCCAGUCUCACUUGAUCUGGGAAGUUAAGCAGGGUCAGGCAUGGUUAGUUCUUGAUUGGGAGGACUGCCAGGGACUAUCAGGUGCUAUAGGCU
rnacentral:rRNA from 1 species